rnacentral:tRNA from 1 species
GCCAGGUUAGCCAAGUGGUACGGCGGCCGCCUCGAGAGCGGCUGUGCAUCCGCACACAGGGGUUCGAAUCCCUUACCUGGCG